rnacentral:rRNA from 1 species
UUGAACGCUGGCGGCAGGCCUAACACAUGCAAGUCGAGCGGAUGAAGGGAGCUUGCUCCUGGAUUCAGCGGCGGACGGGUGAGUAAUGCCUAGGAAUCUGCCUGGUAGUGGGGGAUAACGUCCGGAAACGGGCGCUAAUACCGCAUACGUCCUGAGGGAGAAAGUGGGGGAUCUUCGGACCUCACGCUAUCAGAUGAGCCUAGGUCGGAUUAGCUAGUUGGUGGGGUAAAGGCCUACCAAGGCGACGAUCCGUAACUGGUCUGAGAGGAUGAUCAGUCACACUGGAACUGAGACGCGGUCCAGACUCCUACGGGAGGCAGCAGUGGGGAAUAUUGGACAAUGGGCGAAAGCCUGAUCCAGCCAUGCCGCGUGUGUGAAGAAGGUCUUCGGAUUGUAAAGCACUUUAAGUUGGGAGGAAGGGCAGUAAGUUAAUACCUUGCUGUUUUGACGUUACCAACAGAAUAAGCACCGGCUAACUUCGUG